UGCCCUCUAAAAUAUUUUUCUGUUAAUCACCAGGUAAUUCAAUUGAGACAGUGAUUGUGUCUUAAAAAUAACUGAAUGUAUACAGUUUCCUUUUUGAUGUACUAAUUCCCUAGUGGCAAAUUUUAUCUUUUUGUAUAUAUCUCUCUGUGACCUUUUAGAAAUUACCAGCAGCUUUAAAAACAUCAUUUUAACAUAUUUUGAACAUAAAUCAUCUAAACCAACACAAUAAUAAAAUAUGUAUUAUUCCCUUAUUUUAAACUUAAAAAAAGUUUUCCACACAUAUGAAUAAGAUAUAGUAAGGAAUGGUUCUUUUUAAAAAGUUGGGGGGUUUGAAAACAGGAAUAUUAUUUGUUCUUAAUAGGCAAAUCUGUAUUUUUUCCUAUUCACUACUAUCAUCAAUUAUGUUUAAUUUAAAGCUCUGGUUAAUAUCCAGGGCCCACUUGUCCCUGGGGGAAAGUUAUAUUCUGAAGAUUGUUUUAGAAAGAUUCUAGUGCCUAUGUUCUCACCGCUGAGCAAAAGGGAAGAUUGAAGAGUGAAGUUUUGCAGAUGGGUUCCCUAAGAAAGCAAAGACACAUGUGUGUUUUCUUAGUGACGCUCAUAUACUUUUAGUUCACCUUGUGACACCUGUGGCUGCUCUAUAUCAGACAGCAUGUGUCUGGUGGCAGCACCCAAAUGUUAAAAUCCAGCAUGCAAAGCCAAAAUCAUCAACAUGUGAUUUACCAGUGAAUCAGCCUGAAUUUGCUCCCUUCAAGAAGAAUGGUGCCUGUAUGUAAAAAUCACAAAGCAUGCACCGUUGGUGGCACUUGGUGGCUUAUUCAUUAUUCUGUUUGGUAGAUUGGAGAGGCAGAAGAAUAAAAAGAGUUAUUGUUCUCAUUUCCAUGUGAUUUGACUCAGGCAUGUUUAAAGAGUAGCUCUUGUACCAGGGAAAUGAAGAUUUGAUCCUGCACUGCUCUUAAGACACUCAGGAAUCUCUCCGUUACCUCAGAGAAUCUGGCCACAAACAGGACUCAGAGUGGAAAUUGCCCAACCUGUCUGCUAUCACUCUCUUGAAAGAGACAGAUCCGAUCAGCAUCUCUCAACUGUGACUCAUGAGGUAUUUUUGGCUAUGUCAAGAACAUUCUCAAACAAGGGCAGCAAAGGACCAUAAGCAAUUCUCCAAUGGUGAAGAUCGACCCCAGUCAUGUAAAAACACGAGGCAACACAUUUCACUUUUGCUUAAGAAGGAUCUUGCAGAAAGUGAAGAAGAGCAGGAAUAGAGAAGACAUUUGAAUGACGACUGAUGUUCUCUUCUUUGGCCUGAGGUUUUAGAACACAUUCACUGCCUGAUCACUGUGGCCCAGAAGCCAUGGCCUCUGCUGAGAGAUAGGGACCCCAUGUUCCCUCUACACAUCUUCUUCCCCAAAGCCUCUCUGAGGCUCCUAUGUUCAAAGAAACAGUCCUCUGGCAAUGGCCUGGUCCUUUCUGCCAUACCAAAGAAAGUUGUUUUUUGUUUUGAGCAAGAGAUCACUUCUGAUUUUCCUACCUUUGACAUGGACCAGACUAAUUGACAAAUUCUAGAAGGACAGACACUUCCAAACGUCUCUUGACAUACUGGCUUCACAAAGGUUAGGAAAGCUGUUAUGGGGAGGACGGAGCCUUUCUCCUCUUCCUGAGAACGUUUGAAGAAGAAAGGGGCUACUGAGAAGUCUGGUAGAUUCAGCAGCUAGUAAAUAUCGUGUCUAAAUGGGCAUCUUUUAUUAAACUCUGAGGCAGGGUUGGUGUGUUAGGCCAUUCUUUCUUGCUAUAAAGAAAUAUCUGAGACUGGGUAACUUAUAAAGAACAGAGGUUUAAUUGGCUCAUGGUUCUGCAGGCUGCACAGAAAGCAUAAUGACAUCUUCUUCUGGCUAGGCCUCUGGAAGCUUCCAAUGAUGGUGGAAGGCGAAGAGGGAACUUGCGCAUCACAUGGCAAAAGCAGGAGCAAGAGAGAGGCGAGGAGGUGCCGCACACUUUUAAAAGACCAGAUCUCAUGAAAACUCACUAUUGUGAGGACAGCACCAAGAGGAUCGUGCUAAAUUAUUCAAGAGAAAUCCUCCCCCAUGAUCCAGUCACCUCCCACCAGGCCCCACCUCCAACAUUGGGGAUUACAUUUCAACAUGAGAUUUGGAUGGAAACACAUUCAAGCUUUAUCAGCCCAGCUCCGGGAGUUCUUAAACUCAUAAGAAUCUAUGAGCUCCCAGAUUUAUGGGCCUUGAAAUAGACUUUAUUCUCCACUACCAUUUUUCGUUUGUAAUUUACAAGUGUCUUAUGGGAAGCGACAUUGAGGGUAUGUAAGUAUCCUGUUUCUCAUCUA
rnacentral:lncRNA from 1 species